UUACGUUGUCUAUAUAUACCCUGUAGAACCGAAUUUGUGUGAUAUUCAUAUAGUCACAGAUUCGAUUCUAGGGGAAUAUAUGGUCGAUGAAA
rnacentral:pre_miRNA from 2 species